GACGAACGCUGGCGGCGUGCUUAACACAUGCGAGUCGAACGGAAAGGCCCCUUUGGGGGUACUCGAGUGGCGAACGGGUGAGUAACACGUGAGUAACCUGCCCUUGACUUCGGGAUAACUUCAGGAAACUGGGGCUAAUACCGGAUAGGAAUCCUUGCUGCAUGGUGUGGGUUGGAAAGCUUCGGCGGUUUUGGAUGGACUCGCGGCUUAUCAGCUUGUUGGUGGGGUAGUGGCUUACCAAGGCUUUGACGGGUAGCCGGCCUGAGAGGGCGACCGGCCACAUUGGGACUGAGAUACGGCCCAGACGCCUACGGGAGGCAGCAGUGGGGAAUAUUGCACAAUGGGCGGAAGCCUGAUGCAGCAACGCCGCGUGCGGGAUGACGGCCUUCGGGUUGUAAACCGCUUUCAGCAGGGGCGAAGCUUGUGGUGACGGUACCUGCAGAAGAAGCACCGGCUAACUACGUG
rnacentral:rRNA from 1 species